rnacentral:rRNA from 1 species
AUUGAACGCUGGCGGCAGGCCUAACACAUGCAAGUCGCGCGGCAGCGGAAGGAAGCUUGCUUUCUUGCCGGCGAGCGGCGGACGGGUGAGUAAGGUAUGGGGAUCUGGCCGAAGGCGGGGGAUAACCACUGGAAACGGUGGCUAAUACCGCAUAAUCGCUAAGGAGCAAAGUGGGGGACCGUUCAGGCCUCACACCUUCGGAUGAACCCAGAUGAGAUUAGCUAGUAGGGGGGGUAAUGGCUCACCUAGGCGACGAUCUCUAGCUGGUCUGAGAGGAUGAUCAGCCACACUGGGACUGAGACACGGCCCAGACUCCAACGGGAGGCAGCAGUGGGGAAUAUUGCACAAGGGGCGCAAGCCUGAUGCAGCCAUGCCGCGUGUAUGAAGAAGGCCUUCGGGUUGUAAAGUACUUUCAGUCGUGAGGAAGGUGUUAAGGUUAAUAACCUUAGCAAUUGACGUUAGCGACAGAAGAAGCACCGGCUAACUCCGUGCCAGCCGCCGCGGUAA